rnacentral:lncRNA from 1 species
CACACACACACACACACACAUGCUCUGUAAAGCUGUUCUCAGGCGGAGAGAAAGGAGUGGAGCAGAGGAGAGGACAGCACGCUCACGCUGUGGUGACAGACGGGGGGAAAAAGGAUAAACGGACACUAAGAGAGGCAAAACAGGGACGAGAGGUUUCAUCAGACCCGACAUACCAGGGAGGUCCCAGAUCCUGUGAUAAACAGUAAGACGCCUUGAUCCAGGUGGAGGUACAGCUCCUUAGCCUCCAGGACCAACCUCCAGGAUGUCCCGGAGGAGGUCUACAGGUGACCUGGUGCCCAGGGACAUCACUGAGAUCUUAGCCCGUGAGGCGAAGGCUCAGCGUGGGCAGAGGAAGCCAGGAAGCUCCCUUGGAGGCGCCUUCAGCUGGUUAAAGGGGAGCCGGCGGAAAAAGAACGCUGGCAAUGGACUGAACCGUAAUGGGAAUGCUGUGACAGAUGCCAAACUGGGACACCAGAACCAUGAGCCUGCAAAAGCUGGUCCCAAAGUGAAUGAAGACCAGAAGAGGUUGACAGUCCAUUAUACAGCCUCGCAGCACUACCAGGAGAAUGUUUUCAUUGAGGGCAGCAGGCCUCAGUACUUGGAAGACCUGCACACUGAAGCUCAAGAGGGACUCAAGAUACAACAGCAGGAAGGUAAGACACAUUCAUUUGAUUCUUGUUAUCAAUAUGACAUAACAUAACAUUUGGUU